CCAAUAGCGUAUAUUAAAGUUGUUGCAGUUAAAAAGCUCGUAGUUGAAUUUCGGGGUUCCACCGUUGGUCAGGCUAUUGUCUGUACUGGUGUGUGGAAUUUCUACCUUCUGGGGAACUAUCAUGUUAUUAAUUUAGCGUGGUAGGAAACCAGGACCUUUACCUUGAAAAAAUUAGAGUGUUCAAAGCAGGCUUAUGUCUGAAUACAUUAGCAUGGAAUAAUAAAAUAGGACGGUGGUCCUGUUUUGUUGGUUUCUGAAUCACCGUAAUGAUUAAUAGGGAUAGUUGGGGGCAUUAGUAUUCAAUUGUCAGAGGUGAAAUUCUUGGAUUUAUUGAAGACUAACUACUGCGAAAGCAUUUGCCAAGGAUGUUUUCAUUAAUCAAGAACGAAAGUUAAGGGAUCGAAGACGAUCAGAUACCGUCGUAGUCUUAACCAUAAACUAUGCCGACUAGGGAUCGGACGAUGUUAACUUUUCUUGACUCGUUCGGCGCCUUACG
rnacentral:rRNA from 1 species